rnacentral:rRNA from 1 species
UACAGAGGUCCCGAGCGUUGUUCGGAUUCAUUGGGCGUAAAGGGUGCGUAGGCGGCGCGGUAAGUCGGGUGUGAAACCUCGGAGCUUAACUCCGAAACUGCAUUCGAUACUGCCGUGCUUGAGGACUAGAGAGGAGACUGGAAUUUACGGUGUAGCGGUGAAAUGCGUAGAUAUCGUAAGGAAGACCAGUGGCGAAGGCGGGUCUCUGGACAGUUCCUGACGCUGAGGCACGAAGGCCAGGGGAGCAAACGGG